GGUUUCAAGGCCGAGAGCUGAUGACGAGUCGUCUUUUAGAUGACGAAGUGGUUGAUGCCAUGCUUCCAAGAAAAGCUUCUAAGCUUCAGGUAACCAGGAACCGUACCCCAAACCGACACAGGUGGUCGGGUAGAGAAUACCAAGGCGCUUGAGAGAACUCGGGUGAAGGAACUAGGCAAAAUGGCACCGUAACUUCGGGAGAAGGUGCGCCGGCUAGGGUGAAGGAUUUACUCCGUAAGCUCUGGCUGGUCGAAGAUACCAGGCCGCUGCGACUGUUUAUUAAAAACACAGCACUCUGCAAACACGAAAGUGGACGUAUAGGGUGUGACGCCUGCCCGGUGCCGGAAGGUUAAUUGAUGGGGUUAGCGCAAGCGAAGCUCUUGAUCGAAGCCCCGGUAAACGGCGGCCGUAACUAUAACGGUCCUAAGGUAGCGAAAUUCCUUGUCGGGUAAGUUCCGACCUGCACGAAUGGCGUAACGAUGGCGGCGCUGUCUCCACCCGAGACUCAGUGAAAUUGAAAUCGCUGUGAAGAUGCAGUGUAUCCGCGGCUAGACGGAAAGACCCCGUGAACCUUUACUGUAGCUUUGCACUGGACUUUGAGCCUGCUUGUGUAGGAUAGGUGGGAGGCUUUGAAGCGUGGACGCCAGUUCGCGUGGAGCCAUCCUUGAAAUACCACCCUGGCAUGCUUGAGGUUCUAACUCUGGUCCGUAAUCCGGAUCGAGGACAGUGUAUGGUGGGCAGUUUGACUGGGGCGGUCUCCUCCUAAAGAGUAACGGAGGAGUACGAAGGUGCGCUCAGACCGGUCGGAAAUCGGUCGCAGAGUAUAAAGGCAAAAGCGCGCUUGACUGCGAGACAGACACGUCGAGCAGGUACGAAAGUAGGUCUUAGUGAUCCGGUGGUUCUGUAUGGAAGGGCCAUCGCUCAACGGAUAAAAGGUACUCCGGGGAUAACAGGCUGAUACCGCCCAAGAGUUCAUAUCGACGGCGGUGUUUGGCACCUCGAUGUCGGCUCAUCACAUCCUGGGGCUGAAGCCGGUCCCAAGGGUAUGGCUGUUCGCCAUUUAAAGUGGUACGCGAGCUGGGUUUAGAACGUCGUGAGACAGUUCGGUCCCUAUCUGCCGUGGACGUUUGAGAUUUGAGAGGGGCUGCUCCUAGUACGAGAGGACCGGAGUGGACGAACCUCUGGUGUUCCGGUUGUCACGCCAGUGGCAUUGCCGGGUAGCUAUGUUCGGAAAAGAUAACCGCUGAAAGCAUCUAAGCGGGAAACUUGCCUCAAGAUGAGAUCUCACUGGGAACUUGAUUCCCCUGAAGGGCCGUCGAAGACUACGACGUUGAUAGGCUGGGUGUGUAAGCGUUGUGAGGCGUUGAGCUAACCAGUACUAAUUGCCCGUGAGGCUUGACC
rnacentral:rRNA from 1 species